rnacentral:tRNA from 1 species
GGUGGCUUAAUGGUAGAGCACUUGCCUUGCAUGCAUGAGGCCCUGGGUUCAAUUCCUCAGCACCA